UCUCAAGUAGUCGUGGACUAGGCCCACAAUUGGCAUUCCUGAAACCAAGGACCACCAGCUGAGCUCUAAAUAAAUACAGAUGUGACAGACAGAGGAGACCCCAAGGAGGGCGGCCUCUCCACUCACAGGUCCUUCCCUGUACAGGCGAGUGUGCCCACCGGCGGUAACAUAGCAGAGGAUGGGGUGGACACCGAGUUGAGAGGCCCUAGGUCUGAAAACAGUUCGGGAUGAUUCUGGCCGCCCACCACACUGUGGGCCUCGCUGCUUGUUCCUCAAAGAGGCUGUGGUUGACCUAGCCCAGCCGCGCCUGGGUAGACUGUCAGGCCUGGUUUGAGGAAUCACAAACCUAGUCUGCUCGCACAGGGUCUGCAGGAGGCUUGGCUCGCCCAGCGCAGGGUCAGGGCGACCAGUCUCCGAGCCACUCCAACGUGGAGCCUGACAGCGAGACUGCAGAACGGAUGACGGUGUCCUGAAUUUUGUGAGCCCCAGGCUACCAAGAGGUGGAGCCCGGGGCAGGCGGCUGGGCGCAAAGAAACUGCCCAGCGGCCAGAAACCGUGGGAACACCACUACCUCGGGUCCUCAGCCGGAGGGCUUGCAGAAAAACUGGGAGAAGGGAACCGAGCGCGCUUCCCCUGUUAGGUCUGCCCUGAGAGCGACAACCAGUGACCUCAACCAUCCGUACCUUCCACCCCAAGCCUGGACCGCACUACUCACCACCUCUUGGUCACCUACCCUUCUCUCUCUCCCUCCCUUUACCCACCCCCGCCGGUGCCACUCGGGUCACCCCGGGGGGUGGCCGAGAUCCCAGCUGUACAAACACUGGGAACAGCCCUCGUCCGCCACAGAACCUUGUACCACCCCCGCCCCAGGGCCCGGGGUCCCUUCUCUGCCUCUGGGAAAGCGCUGAGCAGCGGGGCCCGACCCUAGAGUCGGUGACUGCCUCCAGCACGAGUUUCACCGCCUUCGUCCGCCGGCGCCCGGUGCAUCUCUGUCGCCCUCAGCCUCCAGGCCAGAGUUCCCCCAACCCCCGCCGAGCCCGAGCGUCCCCUCACCCCCUUCCCUCCCAGCCCGCGAGGUGCUGGGAGCGGGGAUCGGACCGGAGGCACCCACUGCGGCAGAUCCCCGGCCUCCGAUCUCUCCUGCAGCCGACCCAGAGCCACGUGCGCCAGGCGGACUCCACACCCUACGGGUGCCGUGCCCCGCUGCCCCGGGAGCCGGCCGAGCCUCUCCCCCGCACCUGCACCCACCUCGCCUGCUCGCCUUUCCUUCUGCGCGGAAAUACCACUGGCUUCAGACAAUUUCAGACAGGCUCCCAGCAGUAGAGGAGGAUAGGACAUUCCGAUCGCUGGAGAUCAAACUGGCCCAGGCGACCCGCAUUAGAGCAGAGACCCCUUUGCCUGGCCUGGAGAGGGUACAGCCCAAAGAACGAGGCUAACACCAAGUGAUGAACUAACUGCUUCAUAGUGUAGCGAAGGGCUAUCCAAACCAUUCCUUUCUGCAGACCUGGCAGGACCCGGAAGCUGGUCGUAAGCAAGAGCAAGAACGUGAAUUUAUUGGCGUAAGUCUCAUUUUAAAAGGUCAACACAAGUAAGAGGCACAUGACAGUUAAACGCUGGUGAUGAGAGCGCUGGACACGGCUGGGCACUGCGCAGACUGUUUCGGGACCUUUCUUUUUUUGUUUGUUUGUUUGUUCAAAGUGCAAAAUUAAGCUAAAAGAUUUCCUUACAGCAAACUGUGUGUACGGUGACUUUCCCUCUAAGGGAACUCUUGCUGAUGCCGCAAACAGCAUCGUAAACAACACUCUAAGGUUUGUGCUUGUGCAACAAAACCGGCAAAACAGAACCAAGGGUUGAAGGAGUCCACUUGGCCGCUCUAACUUUGCAGUCUACGGAUCCUUCCAGCAGCCUCGCAUCCAUCUGCUCCAAGUGUCUGGGUCCAUCUCAUCUCCUUGGUGUGUUUCAAAGCUGAAACAAUUUUACACACACAUGUGAUAUCAACAGAGCCUGCAGCAACAUCUUUUUUUUUCUGCAUCUUCAUGGUAGAAAACAUUUUGGAAGUAAACAUGUAUUUAUCAAUAAAAUGGAUGUUUGUCAAGUGUC